UGUAAUGGCGGCGUAGAGGUACUGACCAAUUUGCUGUCAUGAAGGCAGCUAAAGAGAGUGUAGAGGGUCGUCGUCAGACAUCAAGAUAUGUGGAUAAGCAGCCUUGAUUUGCCUUCAGGACAGCUCUCCUAGGAAAAACAGUCGAUCUGGAAGUGCAAUGCUUGAGUCGAACCUCGCGCUGCACCAGACAUCACACACAGGAAGCAUCCGAUUGACAAGCUGCCGUCUUUUCAUAAACACCUAACCUCUCUCUACUGGCAAACCUUGCAUCCAAACCAACCGAUGACCCCCUCUUCCAGACAUGAGCCAUACCUACAUCUUUUCCAGUGUCUUCCAGGGCUAUUUGAUAGUUCAAAGGACCCAGCUGCUAGAGAAUACGUUUCUCAGUUGUCUCAUCCUGGAGGAGGCAGCAUCUGGAUUUAGAUUAGGCCCAUGAAGUAUUUUGUCCAUUGGACUUUGGAAUUUCCUGCCAAGCUGGAGCUCUGCUGGGGAUAGUCCAGUGAUCUCUUGAACGGCUGAAUUCGGGGCGAAUCGGAAUUCUGAUGAGACAAACUGAACACCCCUAUCUGAGAGGAUGAAGUCUGGCACACCCCACCUUGUCAGGAUUUAUUUUCGGAAGACAGAGGCAACAUUCUGGGCAGUGGCAUUACGAAUGGGGAAGAACUCAACACAUCGGGAAUAAUAAUCGACAAAGACAAGCAGAUUCCUCCAUGUGCACUCAUGGGAGUGGAAUGAUAGUGCUGGAGAAGGGAGGAUCUGAGACUGCUGGGAAUGUAGACUCGGUAAUGCUGUUGGUUAUUUGCCAGAGCAACAUCUGAUACAGGCAGUUCUGGUUCCUUUUCACUGGUGUACAGGUUACAUCUGGAGGUAACGGAAGACCUGGAUAGAGCAUCGGGAGCUAUAUUUAGCUUCCCUUUUCGGUACUCAAUGACAAAAUCGAAUUUCUGCAAUCGCACAACCCAACGGAUGAGGCGGCUAGUGGUUUUAGUGGAGCUCAUGACCCAUUGUAGCGCAGAAUGGUCGGUGACAACUGUAAAAAACCUGUGCUCCAAGUAGUGUUGCCACUUUUCCAGGGCCCAGACAACUGCAAGACAUUCUUUCUCUGUUGCAGUGUAGUUGAAUUCGGCCCCAGUUAAGGUUCUGCUUGCAUAGGCGAUAACCUCCUCUCUGCCAGCAUUCCGCUGUUGUGUCAAAAUGGCACCCAGACCAGUGUCACUGGCAUCAGUAAAUACAGUGAAUGGGUGCUGAAGAUCAGGAUGGCCAAGAAUGGGUGGUGAGCGAGUUUAGGGGUUCGGCUAUCCUUGAAAAGUUCGGGACAAACCGGUGGUACCACCCAGCCAAUCCAAGGAACCUCUGAACUUCCUUCAAGUUUCUAGGUACAGGGGUCCAUUGUCACCUGCCAAUAUCCACUGUUGAGAUCAAUGGUAGAGAAGAUGGCUGCCCCAGAGAGUGAUUCCAGGAUUUCUGUGAUGUUGGGAAAGGGGUACCAAGACCACCGGUGAAGCCCAGAGUGGGAGGGUUCGAUUAUUUCCUGCCUCAACAUCUCAUCAAGUUGCUCUUCCAUG